rnacentral:rRNA from 1 species
AGAAUCAACGCUGGCGGCGUGCCUAACACAUGCAAGUCGCACGAGAAAGGGACUUCGGUCCUGAGUACAGUGGCGCACGGGUGAGUAACACGUGAAUUAUCUACCUCCGAGUGGGGAAUAACUGAGAGAAAUCUUAGCUAAUACCGCAUAACACUUACGAGUCAAAGCAGCAAUGCGCUUGGAGAGGAGUUCGCGGCAGAUUAGUUAGUUGGCGGGGUAAUGGCCCACCAAGACGAUGAUCUGUAUCCGGCCUGAGAGGGCGCACGGACACACUGGAACUGAAACACGGUCCAGACUCCUACGGGAGGCAGCAGUGGGGAAUUUUGCGCAAUGGGGGAAACCCUGACGCAGCAACGCCGCGUGGAGGAUGAAAUAUCUUGGUAUGUAAACUCCUUUCGAUGGGGAAGAUAAUGACGGUACCCAUAGAAGAAGCCCGGCUAACUUCGUGCCAGCAGCCG